rnacentral:rRNA from 1 species
GAACGAACGCUGGCGGCAGGCCUAACACAUGCAAGUCGAGCGCCCCGCAAGGGGAGCGGCGGACGGGUGAGUAACGCGUGGGAACGUACCCCUUUCUACGGAAUAGCCUCGGGAAACUGGGAGUAAUACCGUAUAAGCCCUACGGGGGAAAGAUUUAUCGGGAAGGGAUCGGCCCGCGUUGGAUUAGGUAGUUGGUGGGGUAAUGGCCUACCAAGCCGACGAUCCAUAGCUGGUUUGAGAGGAUGAUCAGCCACACUGGGACUGAGACACGGCCCAGACUCCUACGGGAGGCAGCAGUGGGGAAUCUUAGACAAUGGGCGCAAGCCUGAUCUAGCCAUGCCGCGUGAGCGAUGAAGGCCUUAGGGUUGUAAAGCUCUUUCAGUGGGGAAGAUAAUGACUGUACCCACAGAAGAAGCCCCGGCUAACUACGUG